UGGACUGGCUAUAGGUUACUAGCUGCAGGCUGCAGGGUGGACUGGCUAUAGGUUACUAGCUGCAGGCUGCAGGGUGGACUGGCUAUAGGUUGCUAGCUGCAGGGUGGACUGGUUAUAGGUUACUAGCUGCAGGCUGCAGGGUGGACUGGCUAUAGGUUACUAGCUGCAGGGUGGACUGGUUAUAGGUUACUAGCUGCAGGGUGGACUGGCUAUAGGUUACUAGCUGCAGGGUGGACUGGUUAUAGGUUACUAGCUGCAGGGUGGACUGGUUAUAGGUUACUAGCUGCAGGCUGCAGGGUGGACUGGUUAUAGGUUACUAGCUGCAGGGUGGACUGGUUAUAGGUUGCUAGCUGCAGGGUGGACUGGUUAUAGGUUGCUAGCUGCAGGGUGGACUGGCUAUAGGUUACUAGCUGCAGGGUGGACUGGCGAUAGGUUGCACGCACGCAGGCAGGCAACAGUAACAUAGACCAGUAACAUGCCACAGUGGAGCCCAGGGGGAUUUAGGGGGAUUCAUUUGGGAGGGUUUUUACAGCUGUUGUCUGCACAUUUAACGGCAAAAC
ensembl:lncRNA